UACGUAGGGUGCGAGCGUUGUCCGGAAUUACUGGGCGUAAAGAGUGUGUAGGCGGUGCUCUAAGUUCGGUGUGAAAUCUCCCGGCUCAACUGGGAGGGUGCGCCGGAAACUGGGGUGCUGGAGCGCGGGAGAGGAAAGCGGAAUUCCUGGUGUAGCGGUGAAAUGCGUAGAUAUCAGGAGGAACACCGGCGGUGUAGACGGCUUUCGUGGACCG
rnacentral:rRNA from 1 species